rnacentral:rRNA from 1 species
GUAUGAACGGCCACAUGAGGACCAAACUGUCUCCUUUGACUAAUCAAUGAACCUGAUCUUCUAGUACAAAAGCUAGGAUCUACCCAUAAGACGAGAAGACCCUGUGGAGCUUUAAAUACCAGCACUAACCACCACUACCCCAACAGGCUUACGCCAACGAAAUAGUGCCCAUUUUUAGUUGGGGCGACUACGGAACCAAACAAAACUUCCACGACAAGGGCCACUCCCCCACACAAGGUCAACAAACCAGCACAUCAUUUGAUCCAGCACUGCUGACCAACGAACCAAGUUACCCCAGGGAUAACAGCGCCAUCCUCUUCAAGAGCCCAUAUCGCCAAGAGGGUUUACGACCUCGAUGUUGGAUCAGGACCNCCAGGUGGUGCAACCGCUACCAAUGGUUCGUUUG